UCCAAAUCUCCGUAACUCAUUUCACAACAUUCACUCAGUGUUCUCCUCUCACAAAAAACACUCUCACCCCAUUAAACCCUAAACUGCAAUUUCUCACCUCUCUCGCCUAACAAUUCAUCUGCAAAAUUCUCAAAUUUUUUAUCACCGUCUCCAUUUCCGACGGCUAUCGGAAGAGGAUUCUCUCACCAUUGAUGUUGAUUUCACUGUUAUCGGAAGAGGAUGAUGUCGAAGUCAGUUCUUGCAACCGAUAUUUGUUUUUCUUUCGGCAGCACGGUAAUUAUUCCGGCGGUGAAACUUCAUCUACAAAAUGAUUUAGUGUUCGGCCGUGGUGCUUUUCUCUUUCACUGAAGGGUACAGAAUUAGGGUUCGGUUGUGGUCUUCAUUUUAGUGAUUUUCUUAUAAUAACCUCUAGAACAAUACCAGUAGAUGGUAACUUUCAAUUAUUCAGAAAUCACUUGCAUUGUCAACAUUGGAAGGAUAUAGUGGCUAUGGAGCUGAACAGGGAGAAAAGCCACUAAGAAGUGCAAUUGCUUCAACAUUUUACCCUGAUCUCGGCAUAGAAGAUGGUGAUAUAUUUGUCUCAGAUGGAGCAAAGUGUGAUAUAUCUCGUCUCCAGUAGAAGAAGUUAGAAAACUUGAAGGCACAACAUUGUAUAGAUCAAGGACUUUGUUCUUCCUUACACACGACAACGCGUUAAGACCUCUAGCGAUUGAGCUAGCUUGGCCGCCGAUGAAUGGAAAGCCACAGUGGAGGCAAGUGUAUACGCCUUCUUGGCACUCAACUGAUGUUUGGCUUUGGAGACUUGCCAAAGCUCGUGUCCUUGCUCAUGAUGGUGGCUAUCACCAACUUGUUAGUCAUUGGCUGAUACUCGAGCUCUCAAGAGGAAGACAUGGGAGCAGCUGGCUUCUGAAGAGGGUAAGGAUAUUCCUAAAGCUAGUGAAAUUGAAAGGUUAAUGUGUCGUACAGGUGUUGAUCAUGUACUAAAUAGG